rnacentral:rRNA from 1 species
UACGUAGGGUGCGAGCGUUAAUCGGAAUUACUGGGCGUAAAGCGUGCGCAGGCGGUCUGUUAAGACAGAUGUGAAAUCCCCGGGCUUAACCUGGGAACUGCAUUUGUGACUGGCAGGCUAGAGUAUGGCAGAGGGGGGUAGAAUUCCACGUGUAGCAGUGAAAUGCGUAGAGAUGUGGAGGAAUACCGAUGGCGAAGGCAAUCCCCUGGACCUGUACUGACGCUCAUGCACGAAAGCGUGGGGAGCAAACAGG